rnacentral:rRNA from 1 species
UGGGGAAUUUUGGACGAAUUGGGGGCAACCGUGAUCCAGCCAUCCCGCGUGUGCGAUGAAGGCCUUCGGGUUGUAAAGCACUUUUGGCAGGGAAGAAACAGCCUGGGAUAAUACCCCGGGCGACUGACGGUACCUGCAGAAUAAGCACCGGCUAACUACGUGCCAGCAGCCGCGGUAAUACGUAGGGUGCAAGCGUUAAUCGGAAUUACUGGGCGUAAAGCGUGCGCAGGCGGUUCGGAAAGAAAGGUGUGAAAUCCCAGGGCUUAACCUUGGAACUGCACUUUUAACUACCGAGCUAGAGUACGUCAGAGGGGGGUAGAAUUCCACGUGUAGCAGUGAAAUGCGUAGAGAUGUGGAGGAAUACCGAUGGCGAAGGCAGCCCCCUGGGAUGAUACUGACGCUCAUGCACGAAAGCGUGGGGAGCAAACAGGAUUAGAUACCCUGGUAGUCCACGCCCUAAACGAUGUCAACUAGCUGUUGGGGUUUUAUUAACCUCAGUAGCGCAGCUAACGCGUGAAGUUGACCGCCUGGGGAGUACGGUCGCAAGAUUAAAACUCAAAUGAAUUGACGGGGGUCAUAGCUG